rnacentral:snoRNA from 1 species
GUCUUGUCAGUGAUGUUUCUAAACACAAAUGUCUGAACAAAUGACUUUCUGUGAUUCCUCCUUCUAUACUGAGACAAGAC